rnacentral:rRNA from 1 species
AGUGAACGCUGGCGGCGGGCCUAACACAUGCAAGUCGAACGGCAGCACAAGAGAGCUUGCUCUCUGGGUGGCGAGUGGCGGACGGGUGAGGAAUGCAUCGGAAUCUGCCCAUUUGUGGGGGAUAACCUCGGGAAACCGGGACUAAUACCGCAUACGACCUACGGGUGAAAGCAGGGGAUCUUCGGACCUUGCGCAGAUGGAUGAGCCGAUGCCGGAUUAGCUAGUUGGAGGGGUAAAGGCCCACCAAGGCGACGAUCCGUAGCUGGUCUGAGAGGAUGAUCAGCCACACUGGGACUGAGACACGGCCCAGACUCCUACGGGAGGCAGCAGUGGGGAAUAUUGGACAAUGGGCGCAAGCCUGAUCCAGCCAUGCCGCGUGUGUGAAGAAGGCCUUCGGGUUGUAAAGCACUUUUGUUGGGAAAGAAAAGCAGCCGGUUAAUACCCGGUUGUCAUGACGGUACCCAAAGAAUAAGCACCGGCUAACUUCGUG